CAGACGCAGAGAUUUCCUCACAGGCUCUUUCUUAGCGACUCUGGGCGAGAAACAGCCGGCCUUCCCCGAUUCAGCUCUGAAAUCCAGAGGAGAAAUGGGUUUGAAAGACAAACAGUGGUUCUGAAGGGUUUCUGCAGGUCUGAUGAAGGGCACGUCUCCGUAGUCUAACACAUGACAGUGUGGCAAACCUUCGAGAGCAACCCCAAACACCUUCAUCUGGAGAAACAAGAGACAACACCAACAAGAACAAUCAGUGGAAGAAACACCAAUCCUGUAAUCAAUCACACUUCCUGCUCCGAUUCUACACCAGCCAAUAAACACAGAAGAGUUUUUGAUUUUUAUUCCAUAAACCGAGCGGAGAUGCUGAACGACGGCCAGACGAACCACAUUUCUCUGCAAAACCUUCAUUACGACGGAUUUAAAACGACUCGACAUGAGAGGUACUGAGUUAAAAGGUGC